AUUGAACGCUGGCGGUAGGCCUAACACAUGCAAGUCGAACGCGAAAGUCCUUCGGGAUGAGUAGAGUGGCGGACGGGUGAGUAACGCGUAGGAAUCUAUCCUGUAGUGGGGGAUAACGUUUCGAAAGGAACGCUAAUACCGCAUACGCCCCAAGGGGGAAAGCGGGGGAUCUUCGGACCUCGUGCUAUAGGAGGAGCCUGCGUCGGAUUAGCUAGUUGGUGAGGUAAAGGCUCACCAAGGCGACGAUCCGUAGCUGGUCUGAGAGGAUGAUCAGCCACACCGGAACUGAGACACGGUCCGGACUCCUACGGGAGGCAGCAGUGGGGAAUAUUGCGCAAUGGGCGAAAGCCUGACGCAGCCAUUCCGCGUGCAGGAUGAAGGCCUUCGGGUUGUAAACUGCUUUUGUACGGAACGAAACGGUCUGCCCUAAUACGGCGGGCUAAUGACGGUACCGUAAGAAUAAGCACCGGCUAACUACGUG
rnacentral:rRNA from 1 species